GGCGGCGGGCGCGAAGCCCCCGCGCCAUGGGCGGGCGGCGCGCAGCGGCGGCGCGCAGCCGGCCCCGCCGGGGGUAGCCGCCCGCGCCCCGCACCCGCGGAACCCGGCAUGAACUGAGGCGGGCGCGGAGGAUGGCGAGUGCCCUCGGCCCGCGGUGGCCCCUCCGCCCGGCCCCGGGCGGCGGCGGUCGCGGCGGCGGGGGACUCCUCUUCGUGCUGCUCUGCGCCUCGGCCGGCCUGCCCCAAAGCGGCCAGCAAGUGCUGCGGAUCGGAGGGAUAUUCGAAACUGUGGAAAAUGAACCUGUUAAUAUUGAAGAAUUGGCUUUCAAGUUUGCAGUCACCAACAUUAAUAGAAACAGAACACUGAUGCCUAAUACCACAUUAACCUAUGACAUCCAGAGAAUUAACCUUUUUGAUAGUUUUGAAGCCUCAAGGAGAGCAUGUGACCAGCUCGCUCUUGGUGUAGCUGCUCUGUUUGGACCUUCCCACAGCUCCUCCGUCAGUGCAGUGCAGUCCAUUUGCAAUGCACUUGAAGUCCCACAUAUUCAGACACGAUGGAAGCACCCUACAGUGGAUAAUAAAGAUGCAUUUUAUAUCAACCUCUAUCCAGACUAUUCAGCCAUCAGCCGGGCAGUGUUGGAUCUUGUACUCUACUACAACUGGAAAAUAAUAACAGUAGUAUAUGAAGACAGCACAGGUCUAAUUCGUCUGCAAGAGCUCAUCAAAGCCCCUUCUAGAUACAACAUUAAAAUCAAAAUCCGCCAGCUGCCCUCUGGGAAUAAAGAUGCCAGACCUUUGCUCAAGGAGAUGAAGAAGGGCAAGGAGUUCUACGUGAUAUUUGACUGCUCACAUGAAACAGCUGCAGAUAUCCUGAAGCAGAUACUUUCCAUGGGAAUGAUGACUGAAUACUACCACUACUUUUUUACAACAUUGGAUCUAUUUGCAUUAGACCUGGAACCCUACAGAUACAGCGGAGUAAAUAUGACAGGGUUCCGCCUGCUCAACAUCGAAAACCCUCAAGUUUCAUCGGUCAUUGAGAAAUGGUCAAUGGAGCGUCUGCAGGCACCACCAAAACCAGAGACUGGCCUCCUCGAUGGCAUGAUGACAACUGAAGCAGCUCUGAUGUAUGAUGCUGUUUACAUGGUAGCAGUGGCCUCUCAGCGUGCCUCCCAAAUGACUGUCAGCUCCCUGCAGUGCCACAGACACAAGCCGUGGCGUUUUGGACCCAGAUUCAUGAAUCUGAUAAAAGAGGCACGGUGGGAUGGCCUGACAGGACGCAUAACCUUCAACAAAACAGAUGGCUUACGGAAGGAUUUUGAUUUGGACAUUAUUAGCCUCAAGGAGGAAGGAACAGAAAAGGCUGCUGGCGAGGUUUCUAAUCAUUUAUAUAAAGUAUGGAAAAAGAUUGGGGUUUGGAACUCAUACAGUGGCCUUAACAUGACGGACAGCAACAAGGACCGGUCUACUAACAUCACAGAUUCCUUGGCUAACCGGACACUUAUUGUCACUACCAUCUUGGAAGAUCCUUAUGUUAUGUACAAGAAGUCUGACAAGCCAUUGUAUGGAAAUGACAGAUUCGAGGGUUAUUGCCUGGACUUACUAAAGGAGCUGUCAAAUAUUUUAGGCUUCAUCUAUGAGGUCAAACUAGUUUCUGAUGGUAAAUAUGGAGCCCAGAAUGACAAAGGAGAGUGGAAUGGGAUGGUCAAAGAACUCAUAGAUCAUAAAGCUGAUCUGGCUGUUGCUCCUCUCACUAUUACCUAUGUAAGAGAGAAAGUAAUUGAUUUUUCCAAGCCCUUCAUGACACUGGGAAUCAGCAUCUUAUACCGGAAGCCCAAUGGGACAAACCCUGGUGUUUUCUCCUUUUUAAACCCUCUUUCUCCUGAUAUUUGGAUGUAUGUUCUCCUAGCCUGCCUUGGAGUCAGUUGUGUCCUCUUUGUCAUUGCAAGGUUUACACCAUAUGAAUGGUAUAACCCCCAUCCGUGCAACCCAGACUCAGAUGUGGUGGAAAACAAUUUUACUUUACUAAAUAGUUUCUGGUUUGGAGUUGGAGCUCUCAUGCAGCAAGGAUCAGAGUUGAUGCCCAAAGCUCUUUCUACCAGAAUAGUUGGAGGAAUAUGGUGGUUUUUCACCUUAAUCAUAAUCUCAUCCUAUACUGCCAACCUGGCUGCCUUCCUGACUGUGGAGAGGAUGGAAUCCCCCAUUGACUCAGCAGAUGAUUUGGCAAAGCAAACCAAGAUAGAGUACGGGGCUGUUAGAGAUGGAUCCACAAUGACCUUCUUCAAGAAAUCCAAAAUAUCAACAUAUGAGAAGAUGUGGGCGUUUAUGAGCAGCAGGCAGCAGACAGCACUGGUGAAGAACAACGAUGAGGGAAUUCAGCGUGUGCUUACAACAGAUUAUGCAUUGCUGAUGGAGUCAACCAGCAUAGAGUAUGUGACUCAGAGAAACUGCAAUCUCACCCAGAUUGGGGGUCUCAUUGAUUCGAAAGGCUACGGCGUGGGAACCCCUAUUGGGUCUCCUUACAGAGACAAGAUCACCAUUGCCAUUCUCCAACUCCAGGAGGAGGGAAAGCUGCACAUGAUGAAGGAAAAGUGGUGGCGAGGAAAUGGCUGCCCUGAGGAGGACAGCAAAGAAGCCAGCGCUCUUGGGGUGGAGAAUAUUGGGGGCAUCUUCAUAGUGCUCGCUGCAGGGCUUGUUCUUUCAGUGUUUGUAGCCAUUGGUGAAUUUAUAUAUAAAUCAAGGAAAAACAGCGAUAUUGAGCAGGCCUUUUGUUUCUUUUACGGACUACAAUGUAAGCAAACCCAUCCUUCCAAUUCCACCUCUGGCACCACCUUGUCUACGGAGUUAGACUGUGGCAAGUUAAUCCGGGAGGAGCGAGGGAUUCGAACACAGCCCUCAAUUCACACUGUGUAGUCAGGAAAGAAAAAAAGGUGUGUUCAAUGGAAAGCAUUACACUUAAACAGUGCACAUAAUGGCAAGGGUUGUACUCGCCAACAGAUAGUUAAUGACUUCAAAGUGCCUCUUGCUUCAGCAGGAGGUAAGCUUAUCGAACACAAAUUGUCAAAGUCCUGGAAACUCGAGCAGUUUAAAUGCAUGUCACAGAGAAAUGAUUACACCUGCAGUGAAGAGUGAGUGCAACAGACUGUGGUAGGUUUUAAGAAUUAUCACAAUCUCUAUGUACAAUUUUCACCUUAUUUCAUGCCGUAAUUCACCUUCUUCAGUGUCUUUCUUUCAAUGCGAUAAUGGAGGAGCUUGGAAUUUCACUCAAACAUCAGAAGAAGUUAAAGAAAAGGUCGAGAACUAAAGGGAAAUCCUCCUUCACAAGUA